rnacentral:rRNA from 1 species
GAUGAACGCUGGCGGCGUGCCUAAUACAUGCAAGUCGAGCGAACGGACGAGAAGCUUGCUUCUCUGAUGUUAGCGGCGGACGGGUGAGUAACACGUGGAUAACCUACCUAUAAUACUUGGAUAACUUCGGGAAACCGUAGCUAAUACCGGAUAAUAUUUUGAACCGCAUGGUUCAAUAGUGAAAGACGGUCUUGCUGUCACUUAUAGAUGGAUCCGCGCUGCAUUAGCUAGUUGGUAAGGUAACGGCUUACCAAGGCAACGAUGCAUAGCCGACCUGAGAGGGUGAUCGGCCACACUGGAACUGAGACACGGUCCAGACUCCUACGGGAGGCAGCAGUAGGGAAUCUUCCGCAAUGGGCGAAAGCCUGACGGAGCAACGCCGCGUGAGUGAUGAAGGUCUUCGGAUCGUAAAACUCUGUUAUUAGGGAAGAACAUAUGUGUAAGUAACUGUGCACAUCUUGACGGUACCUAAUCAGAAAGCCACGGCUAACUACGUG